AUGGAGCCGGAUCUGGAAGCAGGGGCAUCACCCCAUGCCCCCACCGUUUCGGCGAAGUUCGUAGUCCUCCGCCUCGUCGGCCUCCUCGGCCUCGUCAUGCUGACAUGCGUGUUACUAGCCGCGUUCAUGGACUUGCUGCAGGCUAUCCCCAAAAGCGACAGAUAUCAGAUCCUACGUGUCCCCACUUUCUCGGUCGAUCUCUCCGGCUUCGACGGGCUCGACGGCCCGACGCUGGCGCCGAGCCUCUCACCAGCGUUCAACCUCACGCUCCACGGCGUCAGCAACCACAGCUCGGGGCCGUCGUCGUGGGUCUGCCAGGAGCGCGGGACGGUGGCGGUCUCGUACGCGGGGGCGGUGCUCGCCUGGGGCCGCGUGCCCGGGUUCUGUUUUGGCGAGCACGCCCACGAGCGCGCGGGGAUGGUCGCGCUCGGCGCCGGGGUUGGGCUGUCCGACGAGCUGCGCGACCGCAUGGCCUCGGAGAGGCGGUCGCGGUCCGCGGAGGUGGACGUGGACAUCGUGCUGGGCUGGAUCGCGGAGGAGUCCCACUACCUGAAGAGGUUGCUGUCGUGCCGGGUGAAGCUGGAUGAGCCGUUGCCGCGACCAUAUCCCUGCAAAGUCCUUGUAUCGUAUCCCUGGUGA
rnacentral:rRNA from 1 species